UACAGAGGGUGCUAGCGUUGUUCGGAAUUAUUGGGCGUAAAGCGCGCGCAGGCGGUCCUUUAAGUCUGAUGUGAAAGCCCACGGCUCAACCGUGGAGGGUCAUUGGAAACUAGGGGACUUGAGUGCAGGAGAGAAGAGUGGAAUUCCACGUGUAGCGGUGAAAUGCGUAGAGAUGUGGAGGAACACCGGUGGCGAAGGCGGCUCGCUGGGCAGUGGCUGACGCUGAGGCGCGACAGCGUGGGGAGCAAACAGG
rnacentral:rRNA from 1 species